CGUACACUCCUGCGGGAGGCAGCAGUGGGGAAUAUUGGACAAUGGGCGCAAGCCUGAUCCAGCCAUGCCGCGUGAGUGAUGAAGGCCCUAGGGUUGUAAAGCUCUUUCACCGGUGAAGAUAAUGACGGUAACCGGAGAAGAAGCCCCGGCUAACUUCGUGCCAGCAGCCGCGGUAAUACGAAGGGGGCUAGCGUUGUUCGGAUUUACUGGGCGUAAAGCGCACGUAGGCGGACUAUUAAGUCAGGGGUGAAAUCCCGGGGCUCAACCCCGGAACUGCCUUUGAUACUGGUAGUCUUGAGUUCGAGAGAGGUGAGUGGAAUUCCGAGUGUAGAGGUGAAAUUCGUAGAUAUUCGGAGGAACACCAGUGGCGAAGGCGGCUCACUGGCUCGAUACUGACGCUGAGGUGCGAAAGCGUGGGGAGCAAUCAGGAUUAGAUACCCGAGUAGUCCCAUG
rnacentral:rRNA from 1 species